GAUGAACGCUAGCGAUAGGCUUAACACAUGCAAGUCGAGGGGCAGCACAAGGUAGCUUGCUAUCUGGGUGGCGACCGGCGCACGGGUGCGUAACGCGUAUGCAACUUGCACUAUACAGGAGGAUAACCCGUCGAAAGACGGACUAAUACUGCGUAUGCUCACAACUUGGCAUCAAGUGGUGAGGAAAGAAAUUCGGAAUAGGAUAGGCAUGCGUCCCAUUAGCUUGUUGGUGAGGUAACGGCUCACCAAGGCAACGACGGGUAGGGGAACUGAGAGGUUUAUCCCCCACACUGGUACUGAGACACGGACCAGACUCCUACGGGAGGCAGCAGUGAGGAAUAUUGGCCACUGGGCGCGAGCCUGAACCAGCCAAGUCGCGUGAAGGAUGACUGUCUUAUGGAUUGUAAACUUCUUUUAUACGGGAAUAACAAGAGUCACGUGUGACUCCCUGCAUGUACCGUAUGAAUAAGCAUCGGCUAACUCCGUG
rnacentral:rRNA from 1 species